rfam:Triticum aestivum genome assembly, contig: Triticum_aestivum_CS42_TGACv1_scaffold_569195_7AS
UGUGUACUCCCUCCGUUCCAAAAUACUUGACUUCCAUUUGUCCAAAAAUGGAUGUACCUAUAUACUAAGACAUGUCUAGAUACAUAUAUAUUUUGACAAAUAGAAGGCAUGUAUUGUGCAAGGGAGGGAGUAGAAU